UGUAAAUAAAGAAGGCGCACCUGGAAUUGUUUGGACAGAUUUUCUAUUAACUCAAACAAUUUGAGGACAUUUUAUUUCAAAUAAAAAGGAAUUGUCAAGAUUCAAAAAUAGCUUUGAUGAUAUGGUGCAGUCAUACAUGUGAUUUGGAAUAGAAUUGAUAGAUUUCAGCAGUUCCAUGAAAGAAGUCAUAUGGUAUUUUUAUCAGGAAGUCUGCUCUACUAAAUACAACUUCCCAGUCUACUUCAUGGUAAAACUAAAGAAAAGAGGACUGUAGCUGAUACUCCUGAUCCUGUAUGGUUAUGGGUAGAAUUAAGCGACAGAAACUUAUUGAAAACAAAACAGGU